AAGACUAUCCUUUCAGGGAUCAUUUCUAUAUUUCUUUCCUAGAGAAGUUUCUCUGCCCAUGCAGAGCACCUGAAACCACUAGGAGGAGUCAGAGCUUUCUCUCCUGAGCAGGAAGCUGGUUCUAGGAACUGCAUCUUACCAUUGAUGAUGGUUUUUUCUCUUCCCUUGGGGGAGUAAGAGGGAGAGGUUGCAGUCUGAGUGG
ensembl:snoRNA U3 Small nucleolar RNA U3